rnacentral:rRNA from 1 species
GACGAACGUUGGCGGCGUGCUUAAUACACGCAAGUCAACUGAAGCACCGGUAGUAAUACUGGUGUGGAGGUGGCGCACGGGUGAGUAACACGUAGGUAAUCUGCCUUCAGGUCUGACAUAACCCCGAGAAUCGGGGCUAAUAGCAGAUGAUGCAGCGGCUUGACAUCAAGACAGUUGUUAAAGCUUCGGCGCCUGAAGAUGAGCCUGCGUCUGAUUAGCUAGUUGGCGGAGUAAUGGCCCACCAAGGCUACGAUCAGUAACUGGUCUGAGAGGAUGAUCAGUCACACUGGAACUGAGACACGGUCCAGACUCCUACGGGAGGCAGCAGUAAGGAAUAUUGCUCAAUGGGAGAAAUCCUGAAGCAGCAACGCCGCGUGAGGGAUGAAGGGCUUUUGCUCGUAAACCUCUGUAGUG